GCUGCGUGCGCGUUCAGCACAAAACAAAUGAGAUUAGGCUCCGCCUACCGCGAUCAUUUGAAGACAAAAAUAAGCCCUCAUUGACAUUCAUGAGCAUGAAGAUAUUCAUAAUCCGGCCUUUUCAUUGGCUAAGAGCGUCAUUAAUACGCGAUUUCCCCGAUUCUUUGUCAUCGAUACUAGUGGUAUCGUGUUACAGAAUUAAUUAUUCAUUUGACCUCAUUACGUCAUCUAAUUUAUUCAUUCUGAAACUUUUCUUUCCUCACACAAAAUGGACCUACGAACACUCCGGUUGAGUUUGAAGAACAAGAAAAACAGUAGAGGUCUACCUAUAUGGUUCAAGAUGAUGAUCAUAAGUGCAUGCAUCAUUUUGCAGAUUCUCAUCCAGGAUGAUGCAGUUUUACAAUUUCCAUGGAGGUGAUUGAUGAUGAUAAAUAAUUGGUGAAGUAGGCCUAAUAGAAGAGCGACAAGACCACAAAGAGAAAUACAACCUACAGCAGUUAUAUGAGACUGGUGUAACAAAUGUUUUCAUUCAAGAAAUCCAACAAUUCAACAUUGAAGAGUCUGACUUAGGAACCACUUGAUGAAGAUGGAAAAGGUUUUUUUUUCCAAGUCCAAUUUUUCAACAAAAAAAAAAAUUAUUAUCACAACCCCAAAUUCAUGAUGUAUGACAUUUCUUGUUGAUUUUCAUUAAAACUGGUUGCAAAAGGAGAAGCUAUAAAGAUACAAAUAGGAGCGGUGGAGUGAAGUUGAAAGUGGGGGCAUAGGGAAAAUGCUGUAUUACGUGAAAUUUUCAAGAAGUUGCGAGCGAGCAAAAUUUUGACAUUUAAAAAAAAAAAUCUAAAAUGUUCAGAAUGAUAUAUUUCACCCUUUUCUCUUUUUUUUUUCUUGGUCGUGAUUUUUUUUUUUUUUUUUUUUUUUGGGGGGGGGGGGGGCAAGAGUCAUUCAAGCCCCCCCUCCAUAUGUACGAAACUGCUUAUAUACCUCCACUCAUGAAUUAUUAAACUAAAUGCACAAAGAAUUUCCUUCAUAAGUUUAUUAUCGAAAUGAGAAUAUUGUUUUCUUGUUUCAAAGGGCAAUCAUCAUGGUGACCAUAAAACGUGUCCUUCUCAGGUGAAAGGGGCAAAGAACAAGUUCUUUAGGAGCAUUUUUCUUGGGUAAAAGGGGGCAGUGAUUCGAGAAAGGGCACUUACAAGAAGGCGAGGGGGCACUCUUUAACACAUGAAACGGGCCCUCAGAUGAAAGGGCACAGAACACGUUCCGGGGGGGGGGGGGCAUUUUUGGGUUAAAAAAUUGCAUACAAGGAAGAGCACUUGGUAACACCUAAAACAGGUUCUCGUCAGGUGAAAGGGACACAGUACACGUUCGUAAGGGGGCAUUUUUCUUGCAUAAAAAGGCACUUUUCAGUGCUUCAAGAAGUAGGGGGAACUGUGCCCCCCCCCCUCCCCUCCCCAGGAUCGCUGCCCCAGCAUAAAAAAAAUCUUUUGGUUCAAAGUAUUAACAUACGCUUAAGAAAAAGGUAAAGCUUAAUCCUCUGAUAAUGUGAUAUUUUUUAAUGGCUAAUUAAUAAAAUUCACCACUAACCAG